rnacentral:rRNA from 1 species
UACGAAGGGGGCUAGCGUUGUUCGGAAUGACUGGGCGUAAAGGGCGCGUAGGCGGCCCGAUAAGUUUGGUGUGAAAGUCCUGGGCUUAACCUGGGGAUUGCACUGAAAACUAUUGGGCUAGAGAUCAAGAGAGGAAAAUGGAAUUGCGAGUGUAGAGGUGAAAUUCGUAGAUAUUCGCAAGAACACCAGUGGCGAAGGCGGUUUUCUGGCUUGAUACUGACGCUAAGGCGCGAAAGCGUGGGGAGCAAACAGG